UGCAAUCCUGCAAUCCAUAGAAACAAAAUAUUGUAGAAGCCGUAGCCGCAGUAAGCUACAUAGAAAAAUGCUUGUUCUCAUCUGCACAGUCAUCUGAUCUGUUCUUGUCUGAGAUACAAGAUUAGAUGAAACACAUUUAUAUAUAUCGUAGGAGUUCCGUUCUCCAAACGAGAAGUACAUUGUUUGCUCUAUUCCCCAUUCCUCGCUAUCCAACAGCCGGCAGCAUAUCUGUACACCAAAAUGUUUUUCAUCAGCUCUGUUCUCUUUCAGCCACAAUGGUC
rnacentral:lncRNA from 1 species